rnacentral:rRNA from 1 species
CCUACGGGAGGCAGCAGUGGGGAAUAUUGGACAAUGGACCAAAAGUCUGAUCCAGCAAUUCUGUGUGCACGAUGACGUUUUUCGGAAUGUAAAGUGCUUUCAGUUGGGAAGAAAAAAAUGACGGUACCAACAGAAGAAGUGACGGCUAAAUACGUGCCAGCAGCCGCGGUAAUACGUAUGUCACAAGCGUUAUCCGGAUUUAUUGGGCGUAAAGCGCGUCUAGGUGGUUAUGUAAGUCUGAUGUGAAAAUGCAGGGCUCAACUCUGUAUUGCGUUGGAAACUGCAUGACUAGAGUACUGGGGAGGUAAGCGGAACUACAAGUGUAGAGGUGAAAUUCGUAGAUAUUUGUAGGAAUGCCGAUGGGGAAGCCAGCUUACUGGACAGAUACUGACGCUAAAGCGCGAAAGCGUGGGUAGCAAACAGGAUUAGAUACCCCUGUAGUC